rnacentral:piRNA from 1 species
UUGCUUCCUCUACAAACAACUGGCACA